GAUGAACGCUGGCGGCGUGCCUAAUACAUGCAAGUCGAGCGAACGGACGAGAAGCUUGCUUUUCUGAUGUUAGCGGCGGACGGGUGAGUAACACGUGGAUAACCUACCUAUAAGACUGGGAUAACUUCGGGAAACCGGAGCUAAUACCGGAUAAUAUUUUGAACCGCAUGGUUCAUAAGUGAAAGACGGUCUUGCUGUCACUUAUAGAUGGAUCCGCGCUGCAUUAGCUAGUUGGUAAGGUAACGGCUUACCAAGGCAACGAUGCAUAGCCGACCUGAGAGGGUGAUCGGCCACACUGGAACUGAGACACGGUCCAGACUCCUACGGGAGGCAGCAGUAGGGAAUCUUCCGCAAUGGGCGAAAGCCUGACGGAGCAACGCCGCGUGAGUGAUGAAGGUCUUCGGAUCGUAAAACUCUGUAUUAGGGAAGAACAUAUGUGUAAGUAACUGUGCACAUCUUGACGGUACCUAAUCAGAAAGCCACGGCUAACUACGUG
rnacentral:rRNA from 1 species